UGUUAGUUUGUUUAAAAAAAUAUAUAUAGAACUGCCAGGCCGAGCCACAAGGGCUCAGCCCAGCCCCCAUGCAUGCACGCAUGCAAUUUCCAUGCAUGCACUCCCUCCCCACGUGAGUACUCCCUCCCCUUUCCUUAUUUCUCUCCUUCCUUCUUUCUCUCCCUCCUUUUCCUUUUACUCCCCACGUUCACCUCUCCCUCUCUUUCCUAUUUUCUCU
rnacentral:lncRNA from 1 species